rnacentral:rRNA from 1 species
AGAGUUUGAUCCUGGCUCAGGACGAACGCUGGCGGCGUGCUUAACACAUGCAAGUCGAACGGGGUGUUUAUUUCGGUAAACACCAAGUGGCGAACGGGUGAGUAACGCGUAAGCAAUCUACCUUCAAGAUGGGGACAACACUUCGAAAGGGGUGCUAAUACCGAAUGAAUGUAAGAGUAUCGCAUGAGACACUUACUAAAGGAGGCCUCUAUAUAUAAGCUUCCGCUUGAAGAUGAGCUUGCGUCUGAUUAGCUAGUUGGUAAGGGUAAAGGCCUACCAAGGCGACGAUCAGUAGCCGGUCUGAGAGGAUGAACGGCCACAUUGGGACUGAGACACGGCCCAGACUCCUACGGGAGGCAGCAGUGGGGAAUCUUCCGCAAUGGGCGAAAACCUGACGGAGCAACGCCGCGUGAACGAAGAAGGUCCUCGGAUCGUAAAGUUCUGUUGUUAAGGGCGAAGGAUGCUUAUUAUAAUACAGUAAGUAUUUGACGGUACUUAACGAGGAAGCCACGGCUAACUACGUGCCAGCAGCCGCAGUAAUACGUAGGUGGCAAGCGUUGUCCGGAAUUAUUGGGCGUAAAGGGAGCGCAGGCGGGAAAUUAAGCGGAUCUUAAAAGUGCGGGGCUCAACCUCGUGAUGGGGUCCGAACUGAUUUUCUUGAGUGCAGGAGAGGAAAGCGGAAUUCCCAGUGUAGCGGUGAAAUGCGUAGAUAUUGGGAAGAACACCAGUGGCGAAGGCGGCUUUCUGGACUGUAACUGACGCUGAGGCUCGAAAGCUAGGGUAGCGAACGGGAUUAGAUACCCCGGUAGUCCUAGCCGUAAACGAUGGAUA